rnacentral:rRNA from 1 species
UACAGAGGUCUCAAGCGUUGUUCGGAUUCAUUGGGCGUAAAGGGUGCGUAGGCGGCGCGGUAAGUCGGGUGUGAAAUCUUGGAGCUUUAACUCCGAAACUGCAUUCGAUACUGCCGUGCUUGAGGACUGGAGAGGAGACUGGAAAUUUACGGUGUAGCGGUGAAAUGCGUAGAUAUCGUAAGGAAGACCAGUGGCGAAAGGCGGGUCUCU